GUCGUCGCAUCCGCUUAUAACCACUCAGCUGCUCCCGCAGUGCAGAGUCCUGCUCAUGCUCCUGGAUCUGACGGCUAACCUGGGGCAGGAGAGAGGGUGAGAGCUGGGGCUCAGCCUGGCCCCUAGUUAAUUAACACAAAGGGUCUUCCAUGGGGAAGAACAUGGGUUUUCAACUCAUAAGUUUCAUUCUCAUUUAGCACUUUCCUCACACACAGCCUCUCUAGCCUGUUUCCUCAACUGGAUAAUGGUAGUAUUAUCUACCUCACAAGUUGGUGUGACUGAAUGACAAAAGGUGGCAAGCACAGGGCCUGGCACAAAAGUAGGAACAAUCCAUACUAAUUUGAAACAGUGAGUCAGACAGACCUAGGAUCAAAUCCCAGCUUUGCCACUGACCAAUCAUGUGAUCUCAACAAACAUGGUGGGCCUAUCACUCCCCAGGUAUUGAGCUGGGAUCGGGGCCACAAGAUGCUGGAAUAACAAGAACACUGGGCUUGGACACCUUCAUCCAAAGUCUCAUCUCAGGUCUCAAUCUCAAUUGACUCUAUGUGUGGCUCUUAAACUAGUCCUGGCAGCCAAGCCCCUGGCAGUCAAGACCUCUCUGCACAGUACCGCAAAACACCAUGGGAUCUGAAGAGUUGUUGGAACACAACCAGCCCCAAGCAGAGGCCGUAAGAACAUACUAGACUGAAUCAGUGGCCUCUAAGGGGAUUGCUGACACUCAAAUGCAGCUGAGCAGGAAUGUGAUCUAAAGGCUUAUUAAAAACAUGGAUGAAAAGCUA